rnacentral:rRNA from 1 species
GUUAUAAGUAUAAAGUUUAUAAUGAUUUCUGCACAAUGAUUCCUCUUAAUUAUUUUUUUAUUAAUAUUAAAAAAUAUAAUUUUGAAUUAAAUUGAAAUCUUUUGGGUUUUAAAGUAGCAUAAUCAAUUGUUAUUUAAUUUGUAUCUUGUAUGAAUGGAUAUAAUCAAAAUUAAAAUUUUUUUUUUCUUAAGUUUUGUGAAAUUAAAAUUAUAGUGAGGAUGCUAUAUUGAAUUAUAAGACGAAAAGACCCUAUAAAGCUUGACUAAAAAAAUUGAUAGUUUCAUUUUUGAUAGUUUAUGUGGGGAAAAUAUUUUUUAUUAGUAAUAAAAAUUAUAAUUUUACUAUUUUUAUAUAAUCAUAUUAUUAUAGUAUAUUAUUAUUUUGUCAAAUGACAUUUUAUGUAUAAGAAAAAUUAUGUAAAAUUUUAAAAUAUAAAAGUUACUUUAGGGAUAACAGAUUAAUAUAUUUAUUUUAGUACUUAUAAUUAAAUAUGUUUGAUACCUCGAUGUUGAAUUAAGUUUACAAUUUUUAGGUAGUACUAAAAGUCUUUUGAAUUGUUCAUUCAUUAAUAACUU